rnacentral:other from 1 species
AUGCAGGUUUCCCCAACUGACACAAACCGUGCAAUCUGAAACUCCGCCUGGUCUUUCCAGGUCUAGAGGGGUGACACUUUGUACUGUGCAUGACUCCACGUUCGAUCCACUGGCGAGUGCUAGUAGUAGUACUGCUGUUUCGUAGCGGAACACGACGGCCGUGGGACUCCCCCCUUGGUAACAAGGACCCGCGGGGCCAAAAGCCACGUCUCUGACCCGUCGUGUGUGCAAACCCAGCACAGCAGCUUUACUGCGAAAACCACUUUAAGGUGACAUUGAUACUGGUACUCACGCACUGGUGACAGGCUAAGGAUGCCCUUCAGGUACCCCGAGGCAACAAGCGACACUCGGGAUCUGAGAAGGGGACUGGGGCUUCUGUAAAAGCGCCCAGUUUAAAAAGCUUCUAUGCCUGAAUAGGUGACCGGAGGCCGGCACCUUUCCCUCUACUACCACUGACUC